rnacentral:rRNA from 1 species
AGCGAACGCUGGCGGCGUGCCUAACACAUGCAAGUCGAACGGUUCUGUUGGGGGCUUGCUCUCGACAGAGUAGUGGCAAACGGGUGAGUAACACGUGGGUAAUCUUCCUUCGAGUGAGGAAUAACUUCGGGAAACCGGAGCUAAUACCGCAUAACAUCUUGGGACGGCAGUUCCAAGAUCAAAGGGGGCGCAAGCUCCCGCUUGAAGUUGAGCUCGCGUCCUAAUCAGCUAGUUGGUGAGGUAAUGGCUCACCAAGGCUCCGACGGGUAGCCGGCCUGAGAGGGUGGCCGGCCACACUGGGACUGAGACACGGCCCAGACUCCUACGGGAGGCAGCAGUGGGGAAUAUUGCGCAAUGGACGAAAGUCUGACGCAGCGACGCCGCGUGGGUGAUGAAGGCCUUCGGGUCGUAAAGCCCUGUUGAGGGAGAGAAAGCUACUGUCGGUUAAUACCCGGCAGUGGUGAUAGUAUCCCUAGAGAAAGCACCGGCUAACUACGUAGCC